CGGUGCGAUCAUACCAGCACUAAUGCACCGGAUCCCAUCAGAACACUACAGUUAAGCGUGCUUGGGCGAGAGUAGUACUAGGAUGGGUGACCUCCUGGGAAAGCCUCCUGUUGCACCCC
rnacentral:rRNA from 1 species